UACGUAGGGGGCAAGCGUUGUCCGGAUUUAUUGGGCGUAAAGCGCGUGUAGGCGGCCCGGUAAGUCCGCUGUGAAAGUCGGGGGCUCAACCCUCGAAUGCCGGUGGAUACUGUCGGGCUAGAGUACGGAAGAGGCGAGUGGAAUUCCUGGUGUAGCGGUGAAAUGCGCAGAUAUCAGGAGGAACACCAAUUGCGAAGGCAGCUCGCUGGGACGUAACUGACGCUGAGACGCGAAAGCGUGGGGAGCAAACAGG
rnacentral:rRNA from 1 species